GAUGAAGAACGUAGCGAAAUGCGAUAAGUAAUGUGAAUUGCAGAAUUCAGUGAAUCAUCGAAUCUUUGAACGCACAUUGCGCCCGCCAGUAUUCUGGCGGGCAUGCCUGUUCGAGCGUCAUUCCAACCCUCAAGCCCCCGGGCUUGGUGUUGGGGAUCGGCGUGCCCUCGCGGCGCGCCGUCCCCUAAAUCUAGUGGCGGUCUCGCUGUAGCUUCCUCUGCGUAGUAGCAACACUCGCACUGGAUCGCAGCGCGGCCACGCCGUUAAACCCCCCACUUCUGAAAGUUUGACCUCGGAUCAGGUAGGAAUACCCGCUGAACUUAAGCAUAUCAAUAAGCGGAGGA
rnacentral:misc_RNA from 1 species